rnacentral:rRNA from 1 species
GACGGAGGAUGCAAGCGUUAUCCGGAAUGAUUGGGCGUAAAGCGUCUGUAGGUGGCUGUUUAAGUCUGCCGUCAAAUCCCAGGGCUCAACCCUGGCCAGGCGGUGGAGACUACUAAGCUGGAGUACGGUAGGGGCAGAGGGAAUUUCCGGUGGAGCGGUGAAAUGCGUAGAUAUCGGAAAGAACACCAGGGGCGGAGGCGCGCUGCUGGGCCGAAACUGACACUGAGAUACGAGAGCUAGGGGAGCGAAUGGG